AAAACAAUUAUAGCGCCUGAGCUGGAGAAAUUGGACGAAACUAUCUUCAGCAGACGAGGUGGAGGUUUAUCGAAAAUUCGGCGGAUACCUCCCGAUCGACAUACCCGAUUGUCACUUUCCGUUUUGAAAGCAUUUGAGUGAUUGAAUGUACAGAAAAUGGAGAAGGUAUAGU
rfam:Lysinibacillus xylanilyticus strain DSM 23493 Scaffold3, whole genome shotgun sequence.